UACGUAGGGUGCAAGCGUUAAUCGGAAUUACUGGGCGUAAAGCGUGCGCAGGCGGUUUGCUAAGACAGGUGUGAAAUCCCCGGGCUUAACCUGGGAACUGCGCUUGUUACUGGCAGGCUUGAGUGUGGCAGAGGGGGGUGGAAUUCCGACGUGUAGCAGUGAAAUGCGUAGAGAUGUGGAGGAAUACCGAUGGCGAAGGC
rnacentral:rRNA from 1 species